rnacentral:rRNA from 1 species
UACGUAGGGUGCAAGCGUUGUCCGGAAUUAUUGGGCGUAAAGCGUGCGUAGGUGGUUGUUUAAGUCUGUUGUGAAAGCCCUGGGCUCAACCUGGGAAUGGCGGUGGAUACUGGGCAGCUAGAGUGUGUCAGAGGAUGGUGGAAUUCCCGGUGUAGCGGUGAAAUGCGUAGAGAUCGGGAGGAACACCAGUGGCGAAGGCGGCCUUCUGGACCAAUACUGACGCUCAUGCACGAAAGCGUGGGGAGCAAACAGG